UCCCAGCACUCUCUGCUCGGCACCUCAAUCACUUCACUCAACUCGACCAGGAAGGAGUGGGAGCGUCUUCUGCGUCCAGCUCUCCUUCCGUUAUGCUCUCUCUCUUUCUCUCUCAACAAUACCUAAUACCUCUGUGUCUUGGCAAUCGAAUUCCGUUAUGCUCAAGCAAUUUUCGCUGUUGAGUUGCUUUUGAGUAAUUUAUAUCUUUCCACUGCACUUGCUGUUUAUAUCUUGGUCUUGGAAUAAUAUUGUGUGCGUAUUGUGCUAUGAGUAUUGUGAAUAAUUGAUUAUUCAAUCGAAUGGGAAAGCAAUUGAUGAAUGAUAGUGUAGUAUCACACGUUGAGAAACACAAUUGGUAUUUGACAAUGUGGAUUUAUGCAAUGGAAUGAAAAACAUUAUCAAUUUAGAUUUUUAUUCAGUGUGAGUACCGAGUGCAGUGGCAUUAUAAGAUUCAUACAGCCGACCUCAUAAGGCUUUGUUGUUGUUGUUGUAUUCAGUACGAGUUUAACACUUUUUAAUGUUAUUAUUGCCUAAAAAUGUAUUUCCAGCUCUAGCUGGUGGACUUUUUUGUUUGCAGGACUUGUCAUAACAGCCGAUAUUCGUUAGGUUCCUUAUUAUAAAAUUUGUUGCCUAUAGCUAAAAGUUUCCCCUCCACAGUUGUGAAUACAUUGGAGGGGAAGUGGUUUUAUUGAUGAUUGCCGCUUUAUUACCAUUACCAUUUUCUGAGUAUCUUCACUGAUGUGGGUUUUAAGGGGAACAAAGCUUCAAGAUUGACAUGUUUUAAUCAGAGUCUUAUAAAAUAUUUGGUUUUCUACUGAUAAGAAAUAGGAGUGUAUGUUAACACAUUGUAUUUUGACAAUUGCAGGCUUGGGUUUCUCUUGGGAAGUCAUUAUGUUUGAUGUAAAUGAUGGUUUCUGGAUUAUCGACUAGGCUGUUGAACAUAUGCAUAGCUUCGUUUUGUAAGUCCCGGCUACUGGAGAGAGCAGAAGCCGUUAUAAUUGAUGGCAUAAGAUUAGGGGUGAUUCCAGAUGUGGUAACUUACAAUACUUUGCUCAGUGCCUAUUCUCGGUUUGUUAGCUUGGAUGCAGCUUAUUCUGUUGUUCAUAGAAUGAAAGAGGCUGGGAUUAGUCCAGAUGUCAUUACAUACAAUUCUUUGUUAUCCGGGGCCACCAGGAAUUGCCUGUUAUCACAAUCCCUGGAUCUGUUUGAGGAAAUGUUACAAGCGGGCAUACAUCCUAAUGUAUGGAGUUACAAUAUUCUGAUGCAUUGUUUCUUUAAGUUAGGAAAACCUGAUGAAGCCAACAGAGUAUUUCAGGAUAUUUUACUUCACAAUCUCACUCCCCACCCAGCUACGUUUAACAUUAUGCUUAAUGGCCUUUGUAAAAAUGAAUACAUCGAUAAUGCCCUAAUGUUAUUUAGGAAUUUGCAACGUCAUGGAUUUGUUCCCCAAUUAGUGACCUACAAUAUUCUUAUCCACGGGCUAUGCAAGGCACGCAGAUUGGGGCAAGCAAGAAAAAUGCUAAAGGAACUGGGGGAAUCAGGUUAUGAGCCAAAUGCCAUAACCUACACUACAGUUAUGAAAUGCUGCUUUAAGUUUAAGCAGUAUGACGAAGCGCUAGAGAUUAUGUCAGAGAUGAAGAGUAAAGGUUAUACUUUUGAUGGCUUUGCGAACUGCACGGUGUUGCUGCUUUAGUUAAGACUGGGAGAAUAGAAGAGGCAAAUGCUUGCAUGGAACAGACAAUGGGAAAUGGCAUUGAACUUGAUUUAGCGGCUUAUAACACUUUACUUAAUAUGUAUUGUAGAGAAGGUAAGUUUGAAGCUGCCUAUAAGCUGAUGGAUGAAAUAGAGAAUGGAGGUCUGUUGUGUGACAAGUAUACCCACACAAUUAUAAUUGAUGGAUUGUGCAAGGCUGGUAAUAUUAUCGGGGCUGAACACCAUUUACAAUAUAUGAAAAUGAUUGGCUUCCGUGAAAACUUGGUUGCCCUCAACUGCAUGAUUGAUGGCUUUUGUAAAGCUGGUCAAAUCGAUCGUGCAAUGGACUUGUAUAAAUCGAUGGAGACUAAAGAUUCCUUUACCUACACCUCCUUGGUGCACAAUCUUUGCAAGGUUGGAAGGUUCCGUUGUGCAUCCAAGCUUAUGAUGAAAUGUUUAAGAGAUGGCAAGAAAAUACUCAGGGCUACCCAUCGAGCUAUCCUUGAUGGUCUUCGUAGUACAGGGUAUACAGAUGAAGCAAGACAGCUUCGGUGGAAAAUUCAAGUGGCUCGAAUAUUACGUUAGAAACUGGCUAUGCUUUUGCUGCUGAAAAUUAGUUUCACCCUAUUUGGAUUGGCAUUUUGGACAGCACCAUUUAAAAUCCCUCUUUUAGUCAUAUUCCGUAAACAUCAGUUGUUUUGGGCUGGUAAGCUUGUUCUACCCAGCACUGAUUAUUAAUAAUGAAGAGUAAUAUUGAAUCUGAAUGUAAGGCGACUAACUACCCUGCCACUGCCUUGCAUUGCUAAUCUGACAGUGGUUCUGCUGGUGUGCAUAACAGAAAGACACUACUUGUAGCAAACACACUACUUCCUUAUUCAUGUAUGACUGGAAACAUUUCUCAAAUUCAUCUGUCAGUCAUGCUGGUUCUUCACUUGAUGGACCCACUGGGAACUGGUUAGCAUCAUUGAGAGCAGUUUAGUUAGAACUCAGGACAACUACUAACUACUCCUGAGAGGUAAACUUGUGUAGUACAGCCUACUUUUCGUGUAAGUAACUUUUGACAUCAAAUUUUGAUAAUUUGGUUUCUUAGAUACAUUUAAUGGUUGUACGACAGAGGAAUAAGAGAGCUUUGAUUCUCAGACAGAGAAAAAAGGAUGGUUUACUAUACAUCCUAAAGUAAAGAAUUGCAAACUCUUGCAUGUUUUAUAAAAGAACAAUUCUGAGGGAACCCUUGAUUCUCUUUCAUAUUUGUUGGUCUAUUUCUUAACCUGUCACAGCAAUGAUGUUUUACAAUUCUUCAAGGUCUGAGAUAUUAUAUCUUUAAAUAAUAUUCUUUGUGAGCAAAAUACUCCAAAUUUUUACCAUAAAAGGUUGAUUGUUUACUUUUGUUUAUGUAUGUCUUCCUAUAUCUUUGCUCUCUACCUGACUAUCAUUUCACCUCCUUAAAAUAUGCUGAUAAAGAAAUGUUAGAUCAAUAUUUGAUUUAGUUCUUUUCAUUUUAAAGGAGUUUUAUGCUUGAGGGGCCUCAUUUAUUUUGUGCUUCUGUGUGUGCAUGCUUAUAACUUGGGUCAGAACUCAGAAGGAGAUGCAUUGACAAAAAAAAUAGUUUUCAAGGAGCAUGGGAUAGAAACUAAGAUGUAUGAUAAUGUGCGUGGAGGUCUGGAUUUUAAGCUCAGCAAUUCAAAUCACGUAUGUCAUUGUGCAGGUGUAGUGGUCUAAACCAAAGCAAGGUGACAGGGUAAGUAGAAGAAAAAAAAAAGAGACAGAAAUAUGAAUUGCUGGUUUACUUCAUAUGACUGUAUUUUAUGUAUUUAAAAAUAUCGCCUGUAGCUCCAAAGAGGAGGUUUACUCAUUCGGCAUAAAGGGUUUCUUUCCUUGAUAUCCUGGAUGUUUUUAGGUGGUCUAGUUUACUGAAAGUAAAUUCCCAAAUUUUCAGUCUAGCGAAUAAGAAUAUUAUAUAACUGCAAAAAACAUCUGUCCUGGUCCUAAAUAAAAAUUCGUAUAUGACUGCACAAACAGCAAUUCGAGAAAGGCUCAUACUCAAUCAGAAUAAAGCUGUUCGAAUUAUUCGAACAAUAAACAAAAAUCAUACAAAAAUAUAGGGGAAAGAUUGAAAUGUAUCGGGAAGAGAUAACAGAGCUGGUUGUAUGAGCUGGGACAGCGAAACAAAAAACCAGCUGCUCAACUUCCUUGGACUGGAACAGAGAAGGAGAGAAGGAUUGAGGUAUGUAGGUGGGAGGCCGAUUCAUGUCUGCUGGAAGGAGAAAUAGGAUAUCGAAGAGGUUGAUGUGGGAUUAGGCUUCUCUAUUGGGUGGGAGGAGGAGAAGAAGAUGGUGAGGGCUUAAGUGAAUACACACAAUGGCGGCAGUUUUUGUUUAAAAGAAAAAAACAUUAUCUAACAGAUGACACAAAUCCUUACAUUAAAAGUAAGCAAUCACCAAUGACCAAAAGGUGCCAUUGCCUCUUAAGACUUUUGAAAGCAAAGGUAGGUUUACUGGUCGUCUUUCUUCUGGGGCUUUCGAUGUUUCUCCCAUUCUUGGCACCACUGCAUCAUGGUUUGUAUCUUGCGCCGCCACAUCUUGGAAUAUGCGUUCCUUGCUAAGCAAUCAUAUGCCAGGGGAAUAUUCGGCCUUGCCCCAAAGUGCAACUAGACGACUUUGAAAACACUGAUGAACAUGAAUGACGAAGGUGGUAACUCUGUAUCCACUGUGCUUCUCGAGGGUAUAGUGACAGUAUAUUGGAUGAUAUUGAAGGAGCAGUGGAUGACAGAGUGAAGACGGACAAGGCAACAACUGCUAGUGUAUGUAUACUGUUCUUGGAGCUGCAGCUACUGAAUUGAGUGAGCUAGGAGAGUAAAGGAGUUCUAUUUUACAGAAACGGGGAACAUUGUCAUUUUCAGGCAAUGUGCAUUGGAUGGCCGUGUUUCAUAUUCAGAUUGGACCAGUAUACUGUAGCAAAAUUUGCCAAAGGCUUUGACACGAUGCCUAAAUUUCUUGAGAAAAAUGCUGGGCUUAAUGCAACGGAGAUCAUAUCUUCUAUAUGUGCUGAACAUGCAUCAGGAAAUACCAAAGUUUGCCUUGACCAAUGAAAGUUGGGAUACCAGAGUUUUUGAAUGGCAUUGGCAAUGGAGUGGAAUCCCAUGUAACCAAGCUUGAGUCUGAGAUUAGAGACUUCCAAAAGUUGCCUGUCAUUCGUACUCUCAGGCUGAAGAAACUUGGCGUCCCUUGCAAACAUAGGAAGCUCAUCUUGAAAUACACUCACAAGUAUAGGCUAGGACUCUGGAGGCCUCGAGCUCAGCCCGUCAAAGCCUAGUUAGUUUAGGAGUAGCGGAGAUGGAUUGUUUGCCCUCCCCUCCCCAUACCCUCCUGUUUUGUGCGGUCAUGGUUAAGCCACGUCAACAUUUGCUUUUUGUCUUAUUAUUUUUAUAAAAAAAUUAAUAUAAAAUAUUGACGUGGCUUAAGCGUGACCGCACAAAACAGGAAGGCAUGGAGAGGGUAUGGAAAGGAGAGGGCAGACAAUCCAUCUCCUAGGAGUAGCGCGUCCUUUACACACAUAUUGUCUGCCGCAAAAUGUGACUGUCGGACACUUGAUGUACUGAGAUUUGAAGAAGAGUUUUACUUGCUUGUUAUAGUCGUCCGUCUCCUUUAUUUAAUUUAUAAUGAAGUUUAGUGGUUUAGUGUCUGAUAUACUGGAUGUUCAGUUUCAUAAUGUACCUAGCCAGUUGAAUAUAACAAUAAUUUUUUAGCACAUUUAAUUACGUAUUACUCUUCG